rnacentral:rRNA from 1 species
UACGUAGGGGGCAGGCGUUGUCCGGAAUCAUUGGGCGUAAAGCGCGCGUAGGCGGCCCGGUAAGUCCGUUGUGAAAGUCAAAGGCUCAACCUUUGAACGCCGAUGGAUACUGCCGGGCUAGAGUCCGGAAGAGGCGAGUGGAAUCCUGGUGUAGCGGUGGAAUGCGCAGAGUAUCAGGAGGAACACCAAUAGCGAAGGCAGCUCGCUGGGACGGUACUGACGCUGAGGCGCGAAA